CUCCGUGUUGCCUAGACCAUGGCCUUGCCCAACACAAGUUAUAAAUUCGGGCACCGCCGGGAAUCGAACCCAGUACCCCAGGAUUACAAGUCCAGCGUUCUAACCGCUAGACCACCGUGGCAGUGUAAUAAAUUCACUAAGCCAGGAAAAGGAAUGAUGAGCAAGAAGCUCAAGAAAUAGGAUUUAACAACAACAUCAGUUAUUGAAAACAAAUAGCGAAGAUGAAACUGAAAAAGGCGUCCCAGGAGAAAAUUUGCCCCACAAAAUCUACGGAAAACGUCAAUUUUACUGAUGAAGAAUCCGUUUUCUUGGAUUGUGAUUUGAGAACAUUCCAACAAACGUUGUUACGGCAAUGCUUAAUGUCAUAGUUUCCUACAGAGACAUUUACAGUGCCAAACCUAAAACAAUAAGCAAAGGUUAUGUGACUUCUUUUUCAAAAACCAUUUCCCUAUGCUCAACCUUUGCUGAUGAAUAGCCGCACAAAAACCAUCCGCACACAUAAGAAGAAUUAAAAAAAAUACUGAGCUAUACGUUUCAAAUGUGACUGCAGAAACAUGAGGAAAAGAGCGAAUACAUUCAUUGCUGAAUGUGGUGAACAUUUGCAACAUUUAAUAUUAGCUCUUUAUGAUUUUAUUGUAAUCUAUUUUUUGACAUAAAGAAUAUGUGUCAAAAAUGA